AUGCACUGUUCCUCCACCGCUGUGGUCAAUGAUUUCCAAAAUCAGGCCAGCCCUUAGACCUAUACCAUGUGACUUUCUGUAAAGCAGAGGUUUGGCUUAUUACUUGGUUAGCUGAGUGGACAAAGCUCUAGUCGUUCAACCCUGAACACAGGUCUGUCUGAACACAGGCAACUGAGCAGAUAAUUUUGUAGAUUCUCUAGUUCUGUAGGAAGUGUCCAAAGUGGAUAUAACAAGCUAACUAUGUGAUCAGAUGACAGAAAGACCCUAAUUAGAAGGACACCCAUGGACCAGCACCUGUAAAAGAGAAGAAACUUGCCAAAGUGAGCAAGGGUAGAUGCCACACAUGGAAGGCAAGCAGGCAAUGGUCAAGUACAGGGAUGUCUGUAUGCAACUCGUUUAAAAAAGCAACAAGACUUGAGAUUACAACCCAGGGAGCAAGAAUUCCAUCCUCUUGUUCCAGGUGCAGCAGGACCAACGUCUCCGACCUAGAUGAUGAGCCAGCCUGCAUGGAAGAGGUUGACUACACUUCAGAUGGCAGCUCAGACCAGGAUGAGAGCAUCCUUGAGCUGGACCGGCAGAUCCAGGCAUGUGCCUUCAAUCAGGAUGAGGGAGAAGAAGAGGAGGGGACAAGGCAGAGAAGAAACACCAUCCUGUAAUCCUGAGGUUCAUAGAAACUCUGUUUCCAGUCACUGGACUCAGACACACACAGCGUGAAAUGGCCUGUGUGAGCUCCUGAUUUCAUUCUAGUUCUACUAUGCAUAGAGUCUGGUUACUUCUCGAUUAUAACAUUUUUCUACACUGCUGUACUGCCCUUGGAGCCUAUACAUGCUGCCGUUGCAAUUAGAAUGGGACUCCAUGGUAUGGGAUUACCAUGGGGCCUCUCCAGACAGCACUGAGCUCCCCUGCAUUCCUGUGCUUGAAGCUGAAGCUGGCUGGAAGCAGAGGAGUGGGCUUUCUUCCUGGUUUCUCAAUCAGAAAUCUAUAUGCCUUUAAAUUGUUCCAUAUAUGAGUGUUACAUCAACCAUAGCAUCUGAGCUUUCCAGCACCAACAUAAGCCACUGAAACUCUGAGGGUCCUGGAAGGGUCAGAAAGUAUUGGAUGAUUGAACAUAGAAGGCUGUGCAGUCAGGUAAUUGCAAAUAUCAUCCUGCAGGUCUGUAACAGUAUACAUUUUAUGGAUUUGGUAGAGGCCAGAAGCUCGGUUAGAUUCUAUGGAAUAAGACAUGAUCACUGGUCCUCGCAAAUUUCAAAACCCUACAUAUUCAGGCCAUUAAACACACUCGGGAAGACAGCGUGAUACCCUGGAAAAUGCAUUCAUUUCAGAAUCAGACAGACAAAUGAGGUUUGUAUCCUGGAUCUGGCAUUGCCUGUUAUGAAAAUGUAGGCAAGUAAUUGGAUCUCUCCAAACUUCAGAGUUUUUAUGCAUCCAGUAAGAAUGAGUGUAUGUAUACCAUGAAGUUAUCCCAAAGAUGAAAUGAGAUAUAAAAGUGUGCAGCUUGGCACAUGCUACACAAUAGUGUUGGCUUUUUCCCCUCCACAACACAAAGGUAUUAUAUGUAAGUAGUCUCACAGUUACACACAAAAAAAUGUUCUCUGGGGCCACAUGAUUGAGAAAUAUUCUUUCUCGAAGGGAUCUGGAAAGGAAGUUACAUGGAGGAAGAGCCUAGGUGAGUGAAUGGCUUGAGAGUCUGUGUGCAGAAGGAAGCAUCUCAGAAACAUGAUUGCUGAGGUUAGGGAGGUAGAUAGAAGGGGGACAAUGAUGAGGAGUAUAUUCUAAGUCAAAUACGAGUCUGUUCAAUGCCAUAUGUAUUUAAUCAGGAUUGGAUUUGGCUAUGAGAGAUGGAAAAUUCAAAAUACUAGUAGCUUUGGCAAGGUAUAAGUUUUCUUUCAUACAGAAUUUCACAUGUACAGAGGCCAGAGCUGGUACCUUGGCUGCAUUAUGUCAGAGACCCAGCUUCUAGUCCUCUAGCUCUGCCGUGUGUUGCUUCUAUUCUUGACCUAGAAUUGCUGCAAAAGCAUCAGCUUUUCUCUCUGCAUCCCAGAGAGCAGCAAAAAGAAUACCAAAAAAGAACAUGUUUCCUACUUUGGAAAAAAUCUAUGCAUGGUAUUUGUGCUUGAUCCCACCAACCAGAAAGUUGUCCAAUGACCACAGGUAACUGCAGGGGAGGUCCGAAAAUAUAGCCUUUAUCUGAGAUGGGCCCAGCUGAAAUUUAAAGUUUUAAUGCUAAGGGAAUUGGAAAUAAAAUAGUGUAUACUGGGUGAUCACGUACUUGAAAAAGAGAGUUUGCCUAGCAUACCACCACCCAAAGAGUUUUGAAGCUUUAAAAUAAUUCCAGAGAAUAUGUAUAGUGUUCGCUUGCUCUGAUCAGCAGAAAGAUACAGAGCAAAAGUUUGCCAUAGUUUAAGCAUAAGACAUAAGAGAAAAGCAUGUGUGUUGUGAUUUUGAUUUAGGGAAUUGAUAUUAUUACUUGAUAUUACUUGAUAUUAUAUUAUCUCUGCUGUUUCCUAUUCUUUUUCAGAGUUUCUGGUGUAGCUCAGAAAUUACACACCUAUCCUUCAUAUUAAGACAUUCAGAUUUCUAUGACAUACACAAGAGGUUUGAAGGAAAUAACAAAUCUGAAUUCAGAUCCCAAAGUAACAGCAUCUUUUAACUUCUCCUUUAUACAUUUUUGCCAAUUUUGAAUAGAGAAAUACAUAAUGCUCCUGGUUCUCCAUUGCUUUGAGGAGUUAUGAAAAAAAUAUUGCUGAAAUGUAAAUGCUGGAAAGGGGUGGGAACAAUACUAACUCGCUAUCAGCAAGUAAUACCUCAGCCCAAAUUAAUUUAUGAGAUUAAUUUGUGAUCAACUAGCACAGUUAUGAGAAAAAAGGGAGAAAAGCAGGUGAGUUUCAAUAUAGAAACUUCUGAAAAAAUCAGACACUUGGAACACUUAUUGAUUUAUCUAUACAACAAAGGUAUAUUAAUUGCCCACUGUGUGUCCUGCACUUUUUUAAGCUCUAAGAAUUUAGAGAAAGAAGAUUUACUAUGAACUCAAGUUACUGUAACUUGAUAAGUAAGAAUAGCAAGUAUUUUAUUUUAAGAUAGGGACAUAUAACAUUAUGGGAAUCUGAAAAUGAUAAUAUGGAAAACCCUUAAGAUUGUGGUGGCAAAAGUCUACUAGAAGAUGAAAAUGUAGAUGACAUGUUCAGAAGUUUCAGGCAGGACAUGUUAAGAAAUAGAGAAAGCUUGAAUAGAGGACCUGUGGUAAGGUUAGGACAUGGACUAAAAUGUUCAGUGUUACUAGUUUAAAGAAUAUAGUUGUAUAUUGAGAAACAAGGAAAAUAGCAAGAGAUUAAGUAGAAAAACUAGAUACUAGAUAGCAAUCAGAUGUAACAAUAUUUGCUAUGCCCUGAGGAAGGAGUUGAACUUAAUUCCCAGCGUGGUAGGGGAGAACUACAAAACUUUUCAGCAGUGGCAUGUCUAGAACUACGCACAAUACUAGCACACGUGUCAGCACCAUAGUCCCAACCUGUUCGUAGCCUAGAGUCUGGCACUCUUGCCAGGCUGGUUGUUGACUACCGUGAGGCUACUGCUGGGUGUGGCAUUUUGAUACCUGAAGAACAAUAUUUACAGCGAGGUAAAGAUUAUGGUGCCAUGCUGGUUGUUGGAGACCAACAAGCUACUGGAUUGGAAAGGACCCCUGCAAGCCAGAGGCAUGUCGGGAAAAGGAAGCAUAAGGAGAAGUAUAUACGGAUAAGCACACUCUUAUUGCCCCCUCCAUUCACACACACUACUUGUUGAGCCACACAACACCGUAAGUAUACCAAUUGCUUUUUAGAACCAUUUUUCAGGUUUCUGUUGCUUCUGCUGAGCUUCUCUUCUCCGAUUACCCUAUUUGAGGCAAUGAAAACCCGUUCAGAUUCACCUUUCUCCUUUUAUAAACACCAAAGCCAACUUACACAACCUGUCUUCUGUGCACCAUUGUAUUAUUUAUACAUCUAUUUAGCAGCACACUUUCCAGCUUCUAUACACUGUAUACCCUCACCCCAGGCAGUAGUGAGUAAUGAGCUCUAAAAUGCAUGAACCUGCUAUUAUUUUGGGAUCCCUCUUCCCACCACGCAAACUUUCUGACAUGUUGAAGGUAUUCAGGAAAAUGUGUCCCCUGCUUGACUCCCAGCUUCCAAACUAGACAUCUAAUAUCUUAAUAUCUCAUACAUUUCCUUGCCUUUCUCCAAUUUUCUAUCUUCAAUCAGAGUUUGUGUUAUAUGAAAGAAAAAUAGUUUCAUGAAAAGGGCAUCUUGCAAAGGUACAGAACCUCCCCAGCAGGCAGUUGCCAUGGAAGGCUGCUUCCAGAGUGAGGCCAGCUUAAGAAGGAUCCGGUGGCCUUGUCCUCACUGGUGUAACGCAGACACUUGGACUGAGCAGUGACAAUGGAGCAAAGGCGCCUCUAAGUUUCCCUGGUGGCUGCCGCAUUCAUCCGGGUGCUCUGGACCAUGCAGUCACUUUGGUGGGAACUGGCUGGGUGGCUCCGUGUGCCUUGUACCAACUUGACUGCUUGGGUGCUUUGCUUCUUGCAAUCCCACCAGCGAGUAUCAGCAUCCAAGGAUUCCAUCCACUGGCUCCAGGUUCUCUUAAGCCUCCAGAGAAAAGGAUUCAGAGUCAUAAAGAACAUUUGAGAUUAACCUGGUCCCUGAGCUACAAGCACACAUUGAGGGCUGCCAACACCAAUAAAGUCACAUUAAACUCCCAACCACAGGAGAAAUUCUCACAUGCAGCUUCCAUUCAUUAGCCUGGAGACUUAGCUGUAGAGUUGAUUUCAUGUUCCAAGAGAAGAGGCUUCUAUGAAAUGCCUGACAUAAGUCAUCCUUGUUAGGAAUUAGCACAGUGACCCACGUGGUGGAUCUGGACAUUUGGGUUAGCAUUAGAGUGAUGGAUUUAUUUUGCCCCGCUGGUACCCCUCACCCCUGCUCCCAAAAGCUUCCAUCUUCCAAAGAUGCAUAGACAGUAGACUGCUCCUCACCACAAGAGUUUUGGUCUAGAGCUGCUGCUAUCUGCCGAACAAGGUCCUCUUUUGUUUGUGUUGGAAUUUGGCUACAUGAAUGCCCUCUUGAUUCUUGAUUUUUAAAACGUGUUGUUUAGAUAAAAAUGAGUGGUAAAAAGGACUUUUGAAAUAAAAAUGGAUUGGAUUGCAUCUUUUCAGUGCCUAGUGAUAAAAAGAUAAUUUUGUAUGUAAUGUAAAAAGCAUCUACUUCAUACAUGCCAGCACAGUGAGGCUGAAAUUGAACUUAAACUCCCUACCACAUCUUCCUCCCCAGCACACACACAUACACACACAGAGAAAGAGUACUUAUAGGGCUUUAGGCAAGAGAACAAAGAGUGAGAGAAGUUUUAUCAUCAGCCUCAUGUUUAUAAAGGCAGGAGGUGGUGAGGGGAUGAUUUUAGGUCAUACUCUCACACAGAAACAGAGAUCUUCAGAGUAUAAGGAGAGGUUCAUCUCUCAUCAUCAUGACAUAAACUAGUCUCCAAAUGUUUUGCAUAUUCUAGGCUUAUUUGGGUCACAAAAUAAAAUGGGUUUAGACUCCUUGGCAGAGAACACAUUCUGUGAGAAAAUUACUGAAUUAACUACAUCUAGGUCUUAUGACACAAAGGCAGCCACACAAAGGAGGGCAUUGGACUGUUAAUAUACCUGAAGCAAACUGACUCUUCUACAUAGGAGGAUUUCCAUGAUCCUUUAUGGUUUUUGAGGCCUUGAGGGGUUAAAAUUAUUUCUUGGGAAGAAACAAGUAUAAUGACCAACUCCACAACAAAAUCAUAAAAUUUAAGCACGAUUCUUUGGAGCAGUCUAGCAGAAGUGUUUGAAUGUGACUGUGGUCUUUGGGGGCAAGAUAAGACACAGCACCAAGGUCAGUUCUGUAGUAACCGGAAGAAAUGCGAAGAAGCCAAGAAACCAACAGUUCUGCCAUCCAAGUGUCCAGCAUGUGGAGGUUACAUAGAUAAUAUUCUUGGAGAGAAUAUCAACAGGCCCCACCCACACUCCAAACUAAAGAGGAUGUUAUUUUAGAAGGUAUCAUGGGAGAAAAUAUCUGCCUGCAACCCUUCUCUCUGCUCAUACAAUUACAUAAUCACUCACUUAACUCUCAUUCCCUUUCUGUGGGAUAGAUUGGGAUUGCGAUGAUUGCCAUCUUCAAAAUGAAGCUCAGCUAUACUUCUAGUGACAAUUUCAGUGAAGAAUGAAAGUGGAAUUUGUUCCCAGAGAAGUCUGACUUCUCCAUGCAUGAUUGUUCCAGUAUCCCAAAGGAGGUGACAUAAAUAGUACCACAGGAAUGGGCAAUUACAGCUAACAUUAGUAAAUAUGAAUAUUACUAUCUAUAACUGCCUUAGACUAUUGUUCAUAUUGCCAUGUUUAUCACUGACAACCCAGACCUACCUGAGGCAAUCCCUCUUGUUAUGAUCAUUUCAUAGGUGAAAGUACUGGGUAACAAUGAAGGUAAGGACAUAUGUAAAAUGAUGCAUCUAGUGUGACAUUUAAUUAUGAUUAGCAACUUGACUGGAUUAAGAGACACCUAGGAGAUUAUUAAAGCAUACUUCUUGGUGUGUCUUUGGGGGUGUUUCCAAAGAUGACUGGCAUGUAGGCCAGCAAAUUCAGUGAGGAAAUAUCCACACCUGAUUGUGGGUUGCACCAUCCAAUAGUCUGAGGACCUAGAUGGAACAGAAAGAGGAAGCAGGAGAAAGCUAUCCCAUACUUGCAAGCUCCAUUCUGGUUGCCUCUUUUGCUGGUGUCAUUGCCUGAGGAUAUCAGGCUCUCAUUUCUUCAGCCUUCAAUGCAGACUCACACCAGGACCCUCCAGGGAACUUCCAGGCCUUCAGACUCAGAUUGGCACUGCAUCUUUAAUCCCUCUUGUUCUAAACUUCCAGUUUCUUGAACUGAGGAAUUACUGAAUCCUCUGGCUCCCCACUUUGCAGACAGCCAAUAAAGUCCAUUUAUUCUGUUCCUCCAGAGAACUAUGAUCCAUACAGUUAGUAAGAACCUUGACUUUACUAUAGAGAAUCUGCUUCCUAAACACAUCAAGGAAAAUGCCUUUCUUCAAAGAACCUCUAAGAACCUUUUUGAGGCCAUAGAACACCUCUGUCUCUGGGAAUGUAUGUUGUUUUCAAUAUUUAACCCAAAUAUAAACAACUUGUUCUAAAUGUCUCAACAGGUUCAAAGUCAGACUUUCAUUAUCUCCUCCCAUUUUCACUAAACUCUUCCUCCAAGGUCCUGGACUUGACCAUGUCAAUGGGAAUCUGUGUUCCCUGAUGCUCAGCCCAGGUCCAAACUAGAAACUCAGCUCUUUACUAGAAGGAUGAAGCUGCCAGUGUUUUCUAGUCUGACCCUUAGCUUUAAUUUGAAUCUAUCCACAGCUUCCUCCACUUGGGGCAUUUUUCACCUAGAUUUUAGCAAUGGUUUCCUCUCAUUCUUCUAACCUUUGGUUUCGCCUCCUUCCAACUCUUUGAGCAGCAAAAUGGCAUUUGGAAUGAAAAAGAAUUUCUGUACCUGCUGCUUACAUCUGUUAGAGGCUUCCUAUGGUCCCAGGGAUAAAUGUGAACAGACGCUGGACUUGAACACCACCUGAUUUAGUCUCUGGUUAUGUUUUUGGUCUCCUUUCUUAAUACAAAUCCCUGCAUCAUGUGCUUAUAUGCACUCUUCUCCAAGAACAUGGUUUGCUUCUAAGACCCCACAUCUUAAAGAACUUCUAUCAGUUUUUGUUGCAUGGCAUUUCCUGUGAGUUCUCUCCUCCCACCAGAGUAGGGUUUUUUUGCAGAACAAAGAUGAUGUUGUUCAUUGCUCCAUCCUGAGAACCUAGCACCUGGCCCAUGACAUAGUGGGCCUUCAUUAAAUAUGUGUUGAAUGGAGCUGGGGAUUUAGCUCAAUGGUACCACGUCUGCCUUGCAAGCGCAAGGUCCUGAGUUCAAUCCCUGGUGUAAAAAAAAUAACGUGUUGAAUGAUUGAGAUCUUAAUUUCCACUGCAACCUCUCCUAAGAAUGACCUCUUACCCAUUGCCUCAGUAACUUAUUAAGCAUGGAUAGUGGUUGCUGCAGCAAAGUGGGACAUGUAUGUGUCUAGCUGACUCAGUGUAGUAAGGAAUCAUCCAGGAAAAGUCUCCCUCAGCCCUUUGCUGCCAUGCCUCCUGCUCUGUAAUUUUCCAGAAUCAGCUUCGUUUUUCCUCCAAAUGGCCUGUAGAGGUCAGAAAAGGCCCUUGGUUUCCAAUCACCAACUGUUCUCUGCCUCUAUUAGCAUUCACCCCUGGUGUGUAUAAUUAAGCAAGCCUAGGCUGGGCACAUAGGAAC
rnacentral:lncRNA from 1 species